rnacentral:tRNA from 1 species
GCACUCAUUGUUUACGACAAUGGUAACACUUGGUAAGUUUAAUUAGCCUUACAUACGAGCAACGCCCUUCUAAGGCGUUGGUCGAAGGUUCGAAUCCUUCCGGGUGCGCCA